GAUGAACGCUGGCGGCGUGCCUAAUACAUGCAAGUCGAACGCUGCGGGGACGGGUGAGUACCACGUGGUUAAACUCCUAUAAGUCUGCGAUAACUUCGGGAAACACGAGCUAAACCGGAUAUUUAUAGAUGGCUGCGCGCUGGAUUAGCUAUUGGGUAAGGUAAUGGCUUACAAAGGCAACGAUGCAUAGCCGACCUGUGAGGGGUAUCGGCCACACUGGAACUGAGACACGGUCCAGACUCCUACGGGAGGCAGCAGUAGGGAAUCUUCCGCAAUGGGCGAAAGCCUGACGGAGCAACGCCGCGUGAGUGAUGAAGGUCUUCGGAUCGUAAAACUCUGUUAUUAGGGAAGCGGUACCUAAUCAGAAAGCCACGGCUAACUACGUGCCAGCAGCCGCGGUAAUUC
rnacentral:rRNA from 1 species